UAUCUCUGUAGAGUCUGCAUAUCAAUAAGCGGAGGAAAAGAAACUAACUAGGAUUCCCUCAGUAACGGCGAGUGAAGCGGGAAGAACUCAAAUUUGAAAUCUUCAAGGUUCUACCUUGACGAAUUGUAGUUUAAAGAAGUGUUUUCUGUUGGAGUUUUGGUAAAAGUUCUUUGGAAUAGGACAUCAUAGAGGGUGAGAAUCCCGUAUUUGACCAUUAUUUCCAGCUUUGUGAUACACUUUCAAAGAGUCGGAUUGUUUGGGAAUGCAGUCCAAAAUGGGUGGUAAAUUUCAUCUAAAGCUAAAUACUGGCGAGAGACCGAUAGCGAACAAGUACCGUGAGGGAAAGAUGAAAAGAACUUUGAAAAGAGAGUUAAACAGUACGUGAAAUUGUCAAAAGGGAAGCGUUUGACACCAGUGUUGUUUUCUCGAAAAUCAAUUAAAAAAGGCAGGAUUUUGUGUUGUAUUGACUUUAUCAGCUUUCUGCACUCUUUUCUUGUCUUUUUUAAUGCACUUUUCGUUUAACAAGUCAACAUCAAUUUCUUUUGUUGUAAAAGGGUCAUUGGAAGGUGGCUUUCUUUUCGGAGAAAGUGUUUAUAGCCUUUGGCCUCUGCAAUCGGAGAGAUUGAGGUCUGCAGCGUAGGAUCCUUCGGGGUUAGAUACAUUUGUGCUAAGUUAUAGCCUUUCAUAGACAACUUGUUGACUAUGAUCAGUCAUGUAGCUUACUCGCUUAUGCUAUUUUACCUACGCUUAGGAUGUUGAAGAUGUAGCACAUCAU
rnacentral:rRNA from 1 species